rnacentral:lncRNA from 1 species
AGGAUUGUGAACUCGACAGUUCUAGAGCAGUGGGUUGAGUGUGACAAGUUUCCCUCCCACUGGACGAACUUCGAGGAUGAGCUGUUGACUGAUUCGAGGCCACGGGUCGGGUGUGGCAGGUUCCCCCUCCCGUCGGCAGAAUCGUGCUUCGCUAGUGUUGAGUGUGACAUGUCCCCUUCCCUAUCGGGGGUCUUGGACCGCGGGUUGAGUUUGUGGCAUAAUCCCCUUCCCACCGGAAAGAUCCCUGACCAUGGGUGUACGCAGCUCUGGGCGACCCGUUGGCGAGAUGUUUGUGGACUGAAGGCUGAGGUGUAAGUGAGAGGUCCUUCACCUUGAGCCGGACAGAGCGCGGACUAUCCGCAGUUGAUUGACUCGAGACCGAGUCGAGUGGCAUAGAUGGCUAAGGUAAAAUAACCUUAGAAAAGAAUCGCCAGUGAGCACAAUAAGACAAAGAGUAAAGAAUAAAGAAUAGCUAAUAAAGAAAAAAACGGCUACAAGUAAAGAAUGGUUAAUGAUAUAAAGUAGAAUCAAGUAAUCUACUUGCAUGAUUUACAGGUAUUGCAUAUUGCAUAGCAUUGUUAUAGUUGCGAGGCAAGGUAUGGUUUUAUUAAUUGCAUAAUCAAAUAUCUAUCUAUCUGUUUAUUAAACUAACCUGCAGUUGCCUCCUUUGAACCUGAUGGCCGAGCUUUUCCCUUGGAUGGCCG